rnacentral:rRNA from 1 species
GACGAACGCUGGCGGCGUGCCUAAUACAUGCAAGUAGAACGCUGAAGAGAGGAGCUUGCUCUUCUUGGAUGAGUUGCGAACGGGUGAGUAACGCGUAGGUAACCUGCCUUGUAGCGGGGGAUAACUAUUGGAAACGAUAGCUAAUACCGCAUAACAAUGGAUGACACAUGUCAUUUAUUUGAAAGGGGCAAUUGCUCCACUACAAGAUGGACCUGCGUUGUAUUAGCUAGUAGGUGAGGUAAUGGCUCACCUAGGCGACGAUACAUAGCCGACCUGAGAGGGGGAUCGGCCACACUGGGACUGAGACAAGGCCCAGACUCCUACGGGAGGCAGCAGUAGGGAAUCUUCGGCAAUGGGGGCAACCCUGACCGAGCAACGCCGCGUGAGUGAAGAAGGUUUUCGGAUCGUAAAGCUCUGUUGUAAGCCAAGAACGGGUGUGAGAGUGGAAAGUUCACACUGUGACGGUAGCUUACCAGAAAGGGACGGCUAACUACGUG